rnacentral:rRNA from 1 species
GACGUAGGGGCGGAGCGUUGUCCGGAAUUACUGGGCGGUAAAGGGACGCGUAGGCGGUCAAUCAAGUCAGGUGUAAAAGAACCCCGGGCCUCAACCCCGGGGGUAGGCACCUGAAACUAGGUUGGGCUAGAGGGCAGGAGAGGGGAGUGGAAUUCCCGGUGUAGCGGUGAAAUGCGUAGAUAUCGGGAGGAAUACCAGUGGCGAAGGCGACUCUCUGGACUGGCCCUGACGCUGAGGCGCGAAAGCGUGGGGAGCGAACAGGAUUAGAUACCCCCGUAGU